UAUGUGGCAUACGGCUCAGUAACACGUAGUCAACAUGCCCAGGGGACGUGGAUAACCUCGGGAAACUGAGGAUAAACCGCGAUAGGUCAUCACUUCUGGAAUGGGUAAUGACUUAAACCUAUAUGGCCCCUGGAUUGGACUGCGGCCGAUCAGGCUGUUGGUGAGGUAAUGGCCCACCAAACCUGUAACCGGUACGGGCUCUGAGAGGAGGAGCCCGGAGAUGGGCACUGAGACAAGGGCCCAGGCCCUAUGGGGCGCAGCAGGCGCGAAACCUCUGCAAUAGGCGAAAGCUUGACAGGGUUACUCUGAGUGAUUUCCGUUAAGGAGAUCUUUUGGCACCUCUAAAAAUGGUGCAGAAUAAGGGGUGGGCAAGUCUGGUGUCAGCCGCCGCGGUAAUACCAGCACCCCGAGUGGUCGGGACGUUUAUUGGGCCUAAAGCAUCCGUAGCCGGUUCUACAAGUCUUCCGUUAAAUCCACCUGCUUAACAGAUGGGCUGCGGAAGAUACUAUAGAGCUAGGAGGCGGGAGAGGCAAGCGGUACUCGAUGGGUAGGGGUAAAAUCCGUUGAUCCAUUGAAGACCACCAGUGGCGAAGGCGGCUUGCCAGAACGCGCUCGACGGUGAGGGAUGAAAGCUGGGGGAGCAAACCGGAUUAGAUACCCGGGUAGUCCCAGCUGUAAACGAUG
rnacentral:rRNA from 1 species